rnacentral:lncRNA from 1 species
GUCGCCUCAUUUCUUUCUUUUCAUAGAUACCGCGUACAUCAAUAUGCCAGUGGAAUCCAACUUACUCUCAUCCUUGCUGGUGGAGUAGCAAACAUCUAGUUGUCCCAAAAAGAAGAAAGCUGGUGGGUAUGUUCGCAUGAGAGGCGGAUGAAGCAAUGAAGAACUUCCAGAUUUGAAUUGCAUGAAAGCAUGCAACUUGGAGUUGGCUCAUUGUUUAUUAAUUUUGGUAGC